CAGCACCACCUAAAAGUGCUGCUGCAGGAGAAAGGUCUCCUUCUAAAAUCCAAUGCGUGAAUGGAGUGGUCUAAACUGUCUUUAAAGGUCUUGGGUGCUCGAGGAGCACAGCGGUGUGCAGUGAUGGGCAAAGCAGCAAACCUAAGAAAUCCAGAGGAAUAAAAGUGAGGACAGUCAGGAGUAUCCAGGACAGAGGAAGUUGCUGACUGCUUCUUCAGGCAUUUUGAGAAAUAGGUCCUAUUUUUUCUCACCACUUCUGUACUACCGAACAAUGGAAAAAAAUCAAAGCAAAAGGCUGCUGGAUCACUGCUAGCUAAGUUGUUAGCUUGAAUG